rnacentral:rRNA from 1 species
CUAGAGAUNNNCUUUCCCUUCGGGGCACCGGUGACAGGUGGUGCAUGGUUGUCGUCAGCUCGUGUCGUGAGAUGUUGGGUUAAGUCCCGCAACGAGCGCAACCCUUAUUGUUAGUUGCUACGCAAGAGCACUCUAGCGAGACUGCCGUUGACAAAACGGAGGAAGGUGGGGACGACGUCAAAUCAUCAUGCCCCUUAUGUCCUGGGCCACACACGUACUACAAUGGUGGUUAACAGAGGGAGGCAAAACCGCGAGGUGGAGCAAAUCCCUAAAAGCCAUCCCAGUUCGGAUUGCAGGCUGAAACCCGCCUGUAUGAAGUUGGAAUCGCUAGUAAUCGCGGAUCAGCAUGCCGCGGUGAAUACGUUCCCGGGCCUUGUACACACCGCCCGUCACACCAUGAGAGUCGGGAACACCCGAAGUCCGUAGCCUAACCGCAAGGGGGGCGCGGCCGAAGGUGGGUUCGAUAAUUGGGGUGAAGUCGUAACAAGGUAACC